UCUGGGAUUUGAAUAUUAUAAUAAAAUCAUAAUUUGAUUUGAUGAUUCUGGUUUAAAAAUGUAAAGAAAGUUACACAAUGCAUUUUUAAUUUGAUGCGGGCAAAAAAUAUGACAUAGGAUGAAGCCUUCAAAUGUUGGCCAUGCUAAAUAAAAUUACAGUCAGCUGCAUGUCAAGUUACCCCACAUUGAUCUGUGUGCUUCUGUGAUAGUGGUGAAUUUGAGUAGAUUGAUGUGAUGCUGGCUGUAUGCAUAUAUAUGAUCAUGAUUUGUGCCCCGAUCUGAUUGAGAUCUUGUUGUUGUUUUUAUUAUCUCUAGGAUCAAAGGGUUCAUGAGGAUUGCUACCUAAAAUCCCAAAUUAAUAGGGAUAUGUUUUAAAGUAGUUUAAUCCCUUGAUCAAAAUUAAUGAAGACACAAUGCCAAAACAAUUGUUAUUUAGGCUACCAGUCAGGUUAACAUAUAACCAAAAGCUUAAUUAUAUAAUUUCACAUAUUAAGUUAUUUAGCCCUAAGGACGAUUCUUCAGCAUUGAUAUUUCAAAUAAUAGAGAAGGAAGGUUGGAUUCUGUGUCUGCUUGAUAUGUGAGUAAAUAUCCUCAUUCUCAUCCUCUUUUCGUUAAAUCUUAACCUCUGGAAUUCAAAAUAUGUAUAUUCUCUGUCUUUGGUAUUAUUAAAAACGAAAAUUUUAAUCUAUUUGUUUGUCUUGUAAAAAUGUGUGCAUAUUCCUUAUUCAAUUCUAUAUGCAAAAUAUCAAAUGAUGGACAAUGAGCAAAUCAACAAAAAUAAGUGAAAUUACAAUUUUACAAGAAACUCAUGAAUCAAAAACUUUGAAGCAUUCAUUAUGAUUCUUUCAUAUUGUCAUUUAUUUAAUAAAAAGUAAAUGUUUCCAACAUGACACUGGCUUCACACAAUACUUGUUACUGAGUUUGAAGGCCAAAGAAGCCAGAGAAAGUAUAGGAAAAGUGCAUUAUAUCAGUCGUAAAAUAGUCCUCCAGGUCUAAUAAAUAUUUACAAGGAACUGAAAUAGAGUUUAUAGAAACAGGUAGUAGACUGGCUGCAAAUAUGAUAACAACAUAAUUAAAACUAUAUUUAAUGAUUGUGAUUAUACGCUGCCCUGUGAAAGUAUGGCCAUAACAAGACUAAAAUUGCUCAUAGAUUUUAUGAUCACUGUAAAACCUGUAAGCCACUUAAAGUGAUGCGAAGCGAGAGAUAUGACAACAAAAUAUAUUAUAAAUGUAUUACAACAACCUGUGGUCACCAAGUUACUGACUCAACUUAAUUUUGAUAUGUACAUAAAUAUAAAAUAAAAUGAUGACUAAUCAUUUAGAGACACUAUGUGGAUGAGAUAAAUGUUUGUAACUUUUUUAAAUGUAAUAAAUUUAUUAGCAGGCA